AUUGAACGCUGGCGGCAGGCCUAACACAUGCAAGUCGAACGAGUGGCGGACGGGUGAGUAAUGUAUGGGAACCUGCCCGUUGGAGGGGGAUAACUACUGGAAACGGUCGCUAAUACCGCAUACUAUCGGAUGCGCCCAGAUGGGAUUAGCUAGUAGGUGGGGUAACGGCUCACCUAGGCGACGAUCCCUAGCUGGUGUGAGAGGAUGACCAGCCACACUGGAACUGAGACACGGUCCAGACUCCUACGGGAGGCAGCAGUGGGGAAUAUUGCACAAUGGGCGCAAGCCUGAUGCAGCCAUGCCGCGUGUAUGAAGAAGGCCUUCGGGUUGUAAAGUACUUUUAGCGGGGAGGCGUUACUCGCAGAAGAAGCACCGGCUAACUCCGUGCCAGCAGCCGCGGUAAUUC
rnacentral:rRNA from 1 species